AGAGUGUGCCUAUGGAGGUCUUGUUAGCAGAUGUGAAGUAAAGGGGGACACUCCCAGAUGUCCAGGACCCCUUCCUAUUGCCAAAGUCCUCAGGGCAACAACCCCUUCAGAGUGCAUGUGCAAAAUACUUUUGAGAAAUUAUUGACUUCUGACAGAGAAGCAACCAUCUUCAGAGCUUUUUGAUUGCAAUUGGCUGUGAUAUCCCUGCUCAUGCCCUGCUGAGUACCAUGUGUUUCUACAGCCCAUCUCACACACAGCAACUCUACUUUCAAGGUGAUGGCAAAUGUGCACUAUGAGAGAAAGUUGCUGUGUGGACAAGCUCUCUGGGGAUGAAGAAGUCCAAAGAAAAAGAGCCAUCAUGCUACUCCUCUUGCUGAGGGAUGCUCCUUGUCAUGACCUGAGUCCAGAGAGGGUGGCACGUAUCCUGGGGUGAUAACUAGGAUCAUGGACAGUGAUUUUGGCAGGAAAUGUCACCCACACAGGCAAACAAGGGGUAUGUAGAAGAGCUCAUGAAACAAAAAUCUAUAGGCUUGUCUAAUUUUAGGGAGAAAGACAGAGAACUGAUGCCAAGGAAACAUAUAAAUCACUUUAUAUAAUUUGUAACACUACUGAAAAAUCUGUUUGGGAUUUAUGUCACUGCAAAUGAAAUAUGCCAUUUGCAAGCUGCGUUUUAUAAUUUAUUAAGCAAGUUGAAAAUGUUCUUUAAAACAAGAUUUGUCAGCUUGUCAUCUAGUGGAGCAGAAGAAAUAGUUUGCGUAUGGAUCACAGAAAUUGGAUUUUCAUGGUGCUCCAUCCAUUUCAAAGGGCUUUAUUUUCUCUGAUGGUUGACAUAAGAUGGUACUUCAGAAGCAUUGCAUGUGCUCCAGAGGACCAUUUCUGCUUUUAAUUCAUUUGACUAUCCAUCCUGCAUUUUCCUCAAGUUAGCUGAACACCAUAUAUUCCAACAUCUCAAUCAGAAAGAACAGUUAUAUACACACAAGUUAAAUGUUUAGGGCUGAUGUGAUGUCCAUUUGAAAAGCUUUAAAUGGAGCAUUUGUAAUAUAACCUGCUUUGGACAUCACUCGCUACAGAACAACCGCAAUGGUGGAACCUGGUGGCUGGUGUGUGUGUGCCAGUCCCAGAUCCAAAUCCCAGUGAAGUGAUGACAAGAUUCCCCUGAGGUUCACUGAGAUUUGAAAGAGGACCUGAAGGAACAUGUCUAGCAACCUCUGCUUUAUAAAGCUUUCUUACAUGAACCAAAACAUUGCAAAAGUGCCUAGAGCAGGGACUAUCAUAAGGGCUGUAC